rnacentral:misc_RNA from 1 species
GAUGAAGGAACGUAGUGAAAUGCGAUAAGUAAUGUGAAUUGCAGAAUUCAGUGAAUCAUCGAAUCUUUGAACGCACAUUGCGCCCGCCAGUAUUCUGGCGGGCAUGCCUGUUCGAGCGUCAUUUCAACCCUCAGGCCCCCAGUGCCUGGUGUUGGGGAUCGGCCCAGCCUUCCUGUAAGGCCGCCGGCCCCGAAAUCUAGUGGCGGUCUCGCUGUAGUCCUCCUCUGCGUAGUAGCACAACCUCGCAGUUGGAACGCGGCGGUGGCCAUGCCGUUAAACACCCCACUUCUGAAAGUUGACCUCGGAUCAGGUAGGAAUACCCGCUGAACUUAAGCAUAUCAAUAAGCGGAGGA